rnacentral:rRNA from 1 species
GAUGAACGCUGGCGGCGUGCUUAAUACAUGCAAGUCGAACGGGGAAUGUAGCAAUACGUUCCCAGUGGCGAAUGGGUGCGUAACACGUGGGUGACGUGCCCCGAAGUGUGGAAUAACAGCUCGAAAGAGCUGCUAAUACCGCAUGUGGUCCCGGGAUUUAGAAAGCCGGGUCUAAAGCAGUAAUGCGCUUCGGGAGCGGCCUGCGGUCCAUCAGCUAGUUGGUAGGGUAAGGCCUACCAAGGCGACGACGGAUAGGGGACCUGAGAGGGUCGACCCCC